UUUUGGCUUCAGAAUCAUCAAGUUUAUCUGGUAAGGUUCUUCGAUGAUGAUUGAAACAGUCGAAAUGAAGAAUUCUUCAGAACCUUCUUCGCCAACUGUUGCUAAUUCGGAGAAAAUUGGAAUAGCAGUAACCUUGGGAAAUUCUGUCUCGCCACCGGUUUCUGAGACUACUUCAGCUCAAGAUGCAGUAGUGUAUGGUGAUGGAUUUUCUUUGGAGAAUAGAGAGAUGUCAAGAAAGAUGCUGCACUAACUGAAAUCGGAGGUGCUACUCCAUCAAAUGAGAAAACAGUCGAGUUGGGACCAUUAGUUUAUGAGAGCAAAGCGGUAUAGUUGAUUAUUGCUUUUUUGUCCCGUUUAAUGUACUCGAAAUUUCUCUUACUCCUAUUUUAAGUAUCUGAUUUUAUUUAGGAGGCAAAGAGUGCAUUCAAAACUCUUUUGCAAUCUGCAAAUAUUGGGUCUGAUUUCACGUGGGAUCAGGUUUAUUACUUGAUUGUUUUGUGCGUACCAAACAAUUGAGGGAGAUCAUUUGACAUGAAGUGUAUUUGUCAGGCCAUGAGAGCAGUAAUUAAUGACUGGAGAUAUGGUGCUCUAAAAUCCAUUGGUGAGCGGAAGCAAGCUUUUAAUGAG